GACGAACGCUGGCGGCGCGCUUAACACAUGCAAGUCGAGCGAGACCCCUGGCUUCGGCCCUGGGGACAUCUGCGAACGGGUGAGUGACACGUGGGUAAUCCACCCUCGGCACCGGAAUCUAUCGGGGAAACCCGGAUUAAUGCCGUAGUGUCCGCCGGCCCUGCGGGGCUGGCGGAAAAUGUAGCUUCGGCCUCCGGCCGAGGACGAGCCCGCGACGGAUUAGCUUGUUGGUGGGGUAACGGCCUACCAAGGCUGCGAUCCGUAGCUGGUCUGAGAGGACGAUCAGCCACACUGGGACUGAGACACGGCCCAGACUCCUACGGGAGGCAGCAGUGGGGAAUCUUGCGCAAUGGGCGAAAGCCUGACGCAGCGACGCCGCGUGAGGGAAGAAGGCCUUCGGGUUGUAAACCUCUUUCAGGAGGGACGAAGCCACUCGGGUUAAUAGCCCAGAGGGUGACGGUACCUCCAGAAGAAGCCCCGGCUAACUACGUGCCAGCCGCCGCGGUAAAAC
rnacentral:rRNA from 1 species